AUGAACGCUGGCGGCGUGCUUAGCACAUGCAAGUCGAACGAUGAAGCCCAGCUUGCUGGGUGGAUUAGUGGCGAACGGGUGAGUAACACGUGAGUAACCUGCCCUUAACUCUGGGAUAAGCCUGGGAAACUGGGUCUAAUACCGGAUAGGAGCGUCCACCGCAUGGUGGGUGUUGGAAAGAUUUAUCGGUUUUGGAUGGACUCGCGGCCUAUCAGCUUGUUGGUGAGGUAAUGGCUCACCAAGGCGACGACGGGUAGCCGGCCUGAGAGGGUGACCGGCCACACUGGGACUGAGACACGGCCCAGACUCCUACGGGAGGCAGCAGUGGGGAAUAUUGCACAAUGGGCGCAAGCCUGAUGCAGCGACGCCGCGUGAGGGAUGACGGCCUUCGGGUUGUAAACCUCUUUCAGUAGGGAAGAAGCGAAAGUGACGGUACCUGCAGAAGAAGCACCGGCUAACUACGUG
rnacentral:rRNA from 1 species